AUUGAACGCUGGCGGCAUGCCUUACACAUGCAAGUCGAACGGUAACAGGCCUUCGGAUGCUGACGAGUGGCGAACGGGUGAGUAAUACAUCGGAACGCGCCCGAUCGUGGGGGGUAACGGAGCGAAAGCUUUUCUAAUACCGCAUAAUAUCUACGGAUUAAAGCAGGGGACCGCAAGGCCUUGCGCGAACGGGGCGGCCGAUGGCAGAUUAGGUAGUUGGUGGGAUAAAAGCUUCCCACGCCGACGAUCUGUAGCUGGUCUGAGAGGACGACCAGCGACACUGGGACUGAGACACGGCCCAGACUCCUACGGGAGGCAGCGGUGGGGAAUGUUGGACAAAGGGCGAAAGCCUGAUCCAGCCAUGCAGCGUGGAGGAUGAAGGCCUUCGGGUUGUAAAAUGCUUUUGUAGGGAACGAAAAGACUCUGGUUAAUACCUGGGGUCCAUGACGGUACCGGAAGAAUAAGCACCGGCUAACUACGUG
rnacentral:rRNA from 1 species